rnacentral:ncRNA from 1 species
GUUGAAAUAAGAGUUUAUCGAAUGUGCCUACUAAAGUAGGAACUGUCAGGGACAGUAA